rnacentral:lncRNA from 1 species
GCGUCUACGGGUAGGAAAACCAGAAGCCACAGCCUAAAGUUCGCUUAGGUUGUAACCGGUGCUCGGGUCUUCCCGAUUUUUAAAAACCUUUCACCCAGAUUUAUCUAUUGCUAACAGUUUGCCCCACGGCUUUACCUUUAUCGUAAUCUAUCUAUCCAUCCAUUCAUCGCCCGCCUGUCCGUCCUAACCCAAUCACCAGGGACAAACCAAAGUCGGGUUUACUGACCCAUCGCGAUGAAGGAGACCACAUCCCAGAGGAGGAGCUGUGACGCAACGUUGUCAACAUCCAUCCAAGUUGUGGCGUGUGUUAGUCCUCAUUCCUUUUCAUGGAUGGAUAUCAUCGCGCUGUAUGGAUAUACCACAUUUUGUUUGUCAUCCGCCAGUGGAUGGACUGACGUCCGUUGAUGCUUCCACCUUUUGGCUAUUACGAACAACGCUGCUGUGAACAAGUCUACAAACUUCAUCGUGGACGUUGGCAUUCGUGUCUCUUGGAUAUCUACCUGGGAGUGUAAUUGCUGCAUCACACGGUGACUCUGUGCUUAACAGUCUGAGGAUCUGCCAGACUGUUUCCCAAAGUGGCCGCACCAUUUUACAUUCCCACCAGCAGGGUAUGAGGGUUCCGAUUUGUCCACAUCCUCGCCAACACUUGUGACUAUCUGACUUCUUCAUUCUAGCCAUCCUAGUGGAUGUGAAGUGGUGUUUCCAUUGUGGUUUCGAAUUGCAUGUCUCUGAUGACUAAUGGUGUUAAUAUUUUCAUGUGCUUUUUGGCCUUUUGUGUAUCUUCUUUGGGAAAUGUCUAUCCAGAUCCUUUGCCCAUUUAAAAAUUGAGUCGUCUUUUUAUUAUUGAGUUGUGUUCUCUACAUAUUCUGUUUUUUUUUUUUUUAGUUGCUACUUUGGGGCUUGUCAUACACAUUUCAAUGGAUCAGAAUCAGCUUCAGAUUUAUAUUAGCUUUAAUUCCAGUGAGAUACAGAAUGGUUAUUCCUAUAUAGCUCUCUUCUCCUUUUUCUCUUUUUGUAGUAUUAUUGUUAUAGAUAUUAACGUUACAGCCCAACAAUACGUUGUUAUCAUUGACACUUCACCAUCUGUAGUCAUUUCCUCAGCUCAGUGUAGCUUUCCUCCCACCCACCUCCUUUGUGUUGUUAUGGGCAACUAUAUUACAAAUAUUACAUUUUUAUCUUUCCUUUGUCUUGUAAAGAGAUAACUCACAUACCUAGGCCAUAAAUUUAGCCCUGCCCUCAACCCAUGUUUGCAGCUCUGCCCUGCCCAUGGGUCCUGUCCCCCUGCUAUU